GAGUUUGAUCGUGGCUCAGGAUGAACGCUGGCGGCGUGCCUAACACAUGCAAGUCGAACGAAGCAAUCGGGAUGAAGUUUUCGGAUGGAUUCCUGGUUGACUGAGUGGCGGACGGGUGAGUAACGCGUGGAUAACCUGCCUCACACUGGGGGAUAACAGUUAGAAAUGGCUGCUAAUACCGCAUAAGCGCACAGUACCGCAUGGUACGGUGUGAAAAACCCAGGUGGUGUGAGAUGGAUCCGCGUCUGAUUAGCCAGUUGGCGGGUAACGGCCCACCAAAGCGACGAUCAGUAGCCGACCUGAGAGGGUGACCGGCCAC
rnacentral:rRNA from 1 species